UGGCUCUCCAUGGUCCCACAAACUUUUGCUUCUCUUGUGUGUGGUGCAGCCCUGGGAAGACAAGCUGGGGGCUCAGAAUGGUCACCAGUGGAACAGAUGGGCUGCCAGAAACUGGCCAGAAAACAGAAAGAAGAGGGACAGGCACUGGAAUAGAGGCAUCGAACGAAUGAGCUUCUUGGUGAGCACAGGAUGGUGACCCUAGGAACUCCCGUGUGCUGUUCUGGCAUCCUGGUACAAUGCCUUGAUUCACAUCUUCAGUGUACCUUCAUUCAAGCCACUGCUACUAACUUUGAACAGAAGACCAUCCAGAAGUUGUCCAUGGUCAAGCUAACUUCUCACGUCAGAAUCCUGGAAGUCACCCUUGAUUUCUCACCCACUCUCAUCCCUCAUGCAUAAUGGCAGUGUCCUCUCCUUUAUAUCUCCAAAUUAUAUCCCAAAUACAUGUGCUUUUGCCUCUAUAAUAGUUAAUUUUUUUUGUCAGUUUGAGUAAAAAGUAUCCAAUUGAUUGGAUUAGCAUAGAUCUGGGUGUGGCAGAAAACUGGAGACAGAAUAUCCACCCUGGGUGUGAGUGACACCCAACUGUCUUGUAGUCUGAAGAGAAUAAAAAGGGAAAGAAGGAAGCUUUGCUUCAAUUUCUUCAGAAGUACUCCAAUCUUCUCCAUUGCCCUGGAACAUGCAGAUUUCCAGCACAGACCUGCACCCGCCCAACUCAGCUCUUUCAGCCUCUAAUGCAGACCCUUCAGCUACCAACAGCUCUGCAGUGAGUUCCAGGUCUUCCUCCUUUGUGCUCUGCAGCACACUGACACCCAUUUGCGUUUUUCUACAUCUGACCCUGCAGGGAGUCAUUACAGACCUACCUUGUAAAUCAUAUAUGCAUACAUAUAUUAUAUUCAGUUAUUAUUAUAAUAAAUCUGUUACUCUAGUGAA